rnacentral:rRNA from 1 species
AUGUGCUUGCUCAAUACUGAUAGAUGGAAUAUUUUCAAAGCAUGUAUGGUGUGGGUCUGCAAUUUGGCGCAAUGGGAGAUUAUUGAAAAAUACACAUUUUUUCAACAUGACAUGGUCUUGAAAUGGGAGUCUACUAUCAAAUUAAAAUAUGUAGGUACAUCUCAUUGUAGACGACAAGUAUCUAUUUUUUUAUUAAAGGGGGUUAAAUUUGUUAUCAUAUAUGCUUGCCUGCUACUAAAACAACUAAAACAUGGAAUUUCUUUUCAUACUGAAGAUGGAUUCAGUGGGUCUCUACGCCAUUUUGUUACCCAACUGACGAACUGA